AAAAAAGUAACAAAAGUUUAAAUUUUUUCAUCGGACCACCAAUUGAAUCCACUCUCCAUUCUUCUCAAUUGAUUUCAUGAUCGGCCGCCGCUAGAGCUCAUAAUACACACUCCAUUUUCCUUUCCACUUCCGCGACAUCCAUCCAUCCGCCGGCUCUCCUCUCCGCCGGCUCUCCUCUUCCGCGGGUCUCCUCCUCUUCUUCCCUUGACUUCUUCAAUCUUCCUGUUUGGUAAUUGGUAAGUAAUCUAUUGAGUUAUUGGUAACUGGAUGCUUAAGUGCUUAUUGGAUUAUUGUUAAGUUACUGAUUUGCUUACUGGCUGUUUGGUAAGUUAUUGAUUCGUUGUUCACUGAUAGUUUAGGGUUGUUCACCCUAAACCCUAAACCCUAAACCCUAAACCCUAAACCCUAAACCCUAAACCCUAAACCCUAAACCCUAAACCCUAAAC
rnacentral:lncRNA from 1 species